UGCCUUGAUGUGUUGCCCGUUCAUUGUCUCCAGGGUGAAUGAGGUGUCAAUCGAGGCACGCAGAAACCUUGUAGUUGUGUUUUUUUGGGAAGGAGUCCUCACUGAUUGCUUUCAUUAAGAUGAACUGCAAGAACACAC